rnacentral:rRNA from 1 species
CUACGGGGCGCUCCAGUGGGGAAUAUUGCACAAUGGAGGAAACUCUGAUGCAGCAACGCCGCGUGGAGGAUGACACUUUUCGGAGCGUAAACUCCUUUUAUAUAGGAAGAAGAUGACGGUACUAUAUGAAUAAGCGCCGGCUAACUCCGUGCCAGCAGCCGCGGUGAAUACGGAGGGCGCAAGCGUUACUCGGAAUCACUGGGCGUAAAGAGCGUGUAGGCGGAUUAAAAAGUCAGAAGUGAAAUCCUAUAGCUUAACUAUAGAACUGCUUCUGAAACUCUUAAUCUAGAAUAUGGGAGAGGUAGAUGGAAUUUCUGGUGUAGGGGUAAAAUCCGUAGAGAUCAGAAGGAAUACCGAUUGCGAAGGCGAUCUACUAGAACAUUAUUGACGCUGAGACGCGAAAGCGUGGGGAGCAAACAGGAUUAGAUACCCUAGUAGUC